rnacentral:rRNA from 1 species
UAGGGAAUAUUAGUAAUGGGCGAAAGCCUGAACUAGCAACACCGCGUGUGCGAAGAAGGCCUUCGGGUUGUAAAGCACUUUUUGAGGGGAUGAGGAAGGACAGUACCCUCAGAAUAAGCCUCGGCUAACUACGUGCCAGCAGCCGCGGUAACACGUAGGAGGCGAGCGUUAUUCGGAUUUACUGGGCGUAAAGCGCGUGCAGGCGGCUCGAUAAGUUGGAUGUGAAAGCUCCCGGCUUAACUGGGAGAGGUCGUUCAAUACUGUCGGACUAGAGGAUGAGAGAGGGAGGUGGAAUUCCGAGUGUAGUGGUGGAAUGCGUAGAUAUUCGGAGGAACACCAGUGGCGAAAGCGGCCUCCUGGCUCAUAUCUGACGCUCAGACGCGAAAGCUAGGGUAGCAAACG